GUCGCUGGCCCACAGCCCUCGAGUGGACGUGGGCACAAAAAAACGUCCUUUCAAGGGUUCCAAGUUGCUCUGUUGUACGUGGGCAUCAAGUCACGCCGACGCUCCACUGUGGCUCAGCUUGAUACGGGACGCGCCAACCAGGCUGCCGGGCUGACCACGACUUAAAAUGUAGCAGAUCAAAAGUCACAAGAGUUCCUCACAGAAAAGGUGUCAUCAGCAAAGCAAAGUGCCCCUUCCU